GUUGGUCAUUAGUCUUUCUAUGGAUGAACUUUUAUAAUUUGCUGCUCAGAAACUUGAUAAUAGUCUUGCUAAUUAGUUUCUGACAGUUUGUUUGAUGAGUCUUGAUUUGUGCCCAAUUGAAGUCUUUGCCAUUAUGUGGCAUCAACUCUUCAUUUGUAUAGCUGGGUCGAACAAAUGACAUCAGUAUAUCAGAGACUGGUAUCAAAUGAGGACACAUAUUUACUAUUGGUGUCAGACAACAAAUUACUGCUAUCCAAAUGAGUCAACAAGGGUAAACUAUUGUUAUGCAUUUUUUAGAUGCAUGCAUAUAGUAAAUGUAAAACCUCUUUAAUUAUCCUCAAGAGGAGCACAGUAAGAUCAAAAAUCUCAUUGCAAUCAAUGUAAGAGCACCACUGUCCAGUUGAGCUAUGAUGACUGGAAUCUUGAGUGAAGCCUUCAUUGGUUUAAAAUGAAAAUCAGGUAUGUUUCUUUGGCUGUUACAUUCAGAAGUUAGGACGUUCAGAUAUUAAAGAACUUUAGACAGAUUAUGAACAUAAAUACUUGGUUACAAAUGUUUUCUAGAAGAAUUUGAUACAUACGCCGGAUACACAUGGUUCUCACGAGACUGGAAAUUUGCUUAUUGCACGUAGAACAUGAUGUCUGCCUUUUCGGCUAUUGCAUUCAAAGCAUUCCUUUCUCGAACAAUUUCUGAUAAUUUUCAAAGUGCAUCCUUGGAUAUCAGGGUUUCCAUAAGAAGUGGAUACAUGUGCCAGAGAUUCAUUGUAGGCAUGGAGGCCAGGAUCACUCAUGUCCAUGAAAUCAGAGUUCAAACUCAUCAUUUUCCGAGCUGAUCGCAGGCCUUAAAAACAGAUGAAUAGCAUGAGACAUGAGCGAUUGCAAGCCUUUUAUAACAUUCCAUGCUGAUUGCAAAUAGAACAUGACAUACGCCUUUUUGGCUGUUACAUUCAUAACAUUCCUUCAUAGAACAAUUUCUGAUAAUUUUGAACAUGCAUCCUUGGAUAUGAAUGUUUUCAUAAGAAGUGGAUAUGUGUCUUGGAGACUGAUUCUAGGCAUGGAGGCAAGGAUCACUCAUGUCCAUGAAAUCAGAGUUCAAACUGAUCAUUGUCUGAGCUGCUUGCAGGACUUUUAAACAGAUGAAUAUCAGCUACCAGAUAAAAUCUUAAUCUUGUCUGAACUUUUGAACCUCUGAUUAUAUGGCUUAUGUUGAAGCUAAGAAGUGCUUUAGUUUAUAUUGAUAGGGAUCAUCAUCAGAAGGCCUCUACGUAAACCUUGCUGGGGAUGGAGGAAUACUGGAAUAAGUCGCAGGGUGCCCUACUUUUGUUGCAUCAUUCUUUGAAUAGAUGGGCUGCUGAAUGUGUUCAACCAAAAAAGAAUGACAACCUGGGACAUAAGCCUACUCUUUUGAACAACAUUGUACCAUGGUAGGCAUCUAAGUUUGAGCAGGUAUUGUGUCAUGUAGCAGCUUCAUUAUCACUGGAUCACAGAGUUUGAGCAACUGGGAAAAGGCAUCUUUGUAAUGUUAAUUUACCAUAGAUCGGUGAGGUGCUGGUAUGUCAUAGCUAUGCUUUGAGUAGCAAAAUGAGGUAUUUCUUAAAUAAAUAGUCAUAUUUAUUUAAAGUAUGAUAUGUGACAUGCAAAAUUUGCAU